AUGCUUGGAAUUUACUGCAGCUGCUGAAGGGAAUAGCCUGGAGGUGAGCACAUUGUACAGCCACAGCUGUUUCGAGGAGCAAGGAAACCGAGGUCAGGAAGCCCGGGCUGUACCUUGAGAGUUUCAAGUGUUUUCUUAAGGCUUCAUGGGUGAUUCUGAUGCAUGGCCAACGUGGAAGUCUCCUGAAACUCUGUUUCUAUCCAGAGACUAAGAGGAGCAGAUGGACCCAAACUUCUUCUGAUUGGAAGAUGGUCUUUUUGUCUUCAGUGUCGCCCAUGUUUUCUUAUCUCCUAACUCAGUUCCUUUUCUCUACCCAUCCUUCACAUUUAUGUAAACUGUUGGGUAAUGUGAACAUAUUCA